rnacentral:rRNA from 1 species
GAAAGGCCUGGGGUGCCCCGCGAGGGGAGCCCUAGCACAGGUGCUGCAUGGCCGUCGUCAGCUCGUGCCGUGAGGUGUUGGGUUAAGUCCCGCAACGAGCGCAACCCCGCCGUUAGUUGCCAGCGGUUCGGCCGGGCACUCUAACGGGACUGCCCGCGAAAGCGGGAGGAAGGAGGGGACGACGUCUGGUCAGCAUGGCCCUUACGGCCUGGGCGACACACGUGCUACAAUGCCCACUACAAAGCGAGGCCACCCGGCAACGGGGAGCUAAUCGCAAAAAGGUGGGCCCAGUUCGGAUUGGGGUCUGCAACCCGACCCCAUGAAGCCGGAAUCGCUAGUAAUCGCGGAUCAGCCAUGCCGCGGUGAAUACGUUCCCGGGCCUU